CUGCUCAAUGAGUAAUUAAAUUGCCGCGGUAUAUUGACCGUGCAAAGGUAGCAUAAUAAUUAGUUUUUUAAUUGAAAGCUUGAAUGAAUGGUUGGACGAGAAAAUUACUGUCUCUUGAAGAUUUAAUUUUGAAUUUAACUUUUAAGUUAAAGGCUUAAAUUUUUUUAAAAGACGAGAAGACCCUAUAGAGUUUUACAUCAAUUUUUGUUUUUGUUAUUUGGAAUUUUAUUUAAAAAUUUUAAUUUAUGUUUAGUUGGGGUGACUAGAAGAUUAAUAAAACUCUUUAAAUUUUAAGAUCAUUUAUUUUUGAUUAAUAAAUCUAAGGUUUUUAAUUUUAAGAUAAAUUACCUUAGGGAUAACAGCGUAAUUUUUUUUAAUAGUUCAAAUUAAAAGAAAAGUUUGCGACCUCGAUGUUGGAUUAAAAUUAAUUUAUGGUGCAGUAGCUAUAAAAUUAGGUCUGUUCGACCUUUAAAUUUUUACAUGAUCUGAGU
rnacentral:rRNA from 1 species